AUUAAAAGGCAAAACAGUCGAAAGGCUGUGACGCAAAGCCAUAGGGCCUGUAAAAUGGCAGCCGGUUGC
rnacentral:ncRNA from 1 species